rnacentral:lncRNA from 1 species
GAGUCCCCACAUUAAAAUGCUCUCAGACCAUACCAUUGAUGGUGGACCCUUGUGAGCUGCAUGAAGACCAAGUGGUCCAUAGUGGAUCAACAGUUAAUAGAUUGAUUCAGUGAAUUUUUGAUUUUAAUUUUAAAUUUAUUUUAAUUCUAUUUUUUGUUCCGUUUGAUCUUUUUAAGCCUGCAGAUUGAGCUUUUUAUGUUGGUGCACCUUUUUUUUAUAAAAUAUAUGAAAAAAUAUUAAUUUUAAAUAAAUAAAGAUAAUUUGAUCCAUAAAUUAAUGCUUAUAUGGAUAAAUUUACACAUUUAUCACAU